rnacentral:rRNA from 1 species
GACGAACGCUGGCGGCGUGCUUAACACAUGCAAGUCGAACGGUAAGGCCCUUCGGGUACACGAGUGGCGAACGGGUGGAGUAACACGUGGGUGAUCUGCCCUGCACUUCGGGAUAAGCCUGGGAAACUGGGUCUAAUACCGGAUAGGACUCCUGGCUUCAUGGUUGGGGGUGUAAAGCUUUUGCGGUGUGGGAUGGGCCCGCGGCCUAUCAGCUUGUUGGUGGGGUAAUGGCCUACCAAGGCGACGACGGGUAGCCGGCCUGAGAGGGUGACCGGCCACACUGGGACUGAGAUACGGCCCAGACUCCUACGGGAGGCAGCAGUGGGGAAUAUUGCACAAUGGGCGCAAGCCUGAUGCAGCGACGCCGCGUGAGGGAUGACGGCCUCGGUUGUAACU